rnacentral:rRNA from 1 species
AGUGAACGCUGGCGGUAGGCCUGACACAUGCAAGUCGAACGGCAGCACAGUAAGAGCUUGCUCUUACGGGUGGCGAGUGGCGGACGGGUGAGGAAUACAUCGGAAUCUACUUUUUCGUGGGGGUUAACGUAGGGAAACUUACGCUAAUACCGCAUACGACCUACGGGUGAAAGCAGGGGAUCUUCGGACCUUGCGCGAUUGAAUGAGCCGAUGUCGGAUUAGCUAGUUGGCGGGGUAAAGGCCCACCAAGGCGACGAUCCGUAGCUGGUCUGAGAGGAUGAUCAGCCACACUGGAACUGAGACACGGUCCAGACUCCUACGGGAGGCAGCAGUGGGGAAUAUUGGACAAUGGGCGCAAGCCUGAUCCAGCCAUACCGCGUGGGUGAAGAAGGCCUUCGGGUUGUAAAGCCCUUUUGUUGGGAAAGAAAAGCAGCAGGUUAAUACCCCGCUGUUCUGACGGUACCCAAAGAAUAAGCACCGGCUAACUUCGUG